rnacentral:rRNA from 1 species
GACGAACGCUGGCGGCGUGCUUAACACAUGCAAGUCGAACGGAAAGGCCCUGCUUUUGUGGGGUGCUCGAGUGGCGAACGGGUGAGUAACACGUGAGUAACCUGCCCUUGACUUUGGGAUAACUUCAGGAAACUGGGGCUAAUACCGGAUAGGAGCUCCUGCUGCAUGGUGGGGGUUGGAAAGUUUCGGCGGUUGGGGAUGGACUCGCGGCUUAUCAGCUUGUUGGUGGGGUAGUGGCUUACCAAGGCUUUGACGGGUAGCCGGCCUGAGAGGGUGACCGGGCACAAUGGGCCUGAGAUACGGCCCAGACUCGUACGGGAGGCAGCAGUGGGGAAUAUUGCACAAUGGGCGGAAGCCUGAUGCAGCAACGCCGCGUGCGGGAUGACGGCCUUCGGGUUGUAAACCGCUUUCGCCUGUGACGAAGCGUGAGUGACGGUAAUGGGUAAAGAAGCACCGGCUAACUACGUG